rnacentral:lncRNA from 10 species
AAAAGUACUUAAUUUUUUUUUUUUUUUUUGAGACAGAGUCUCGCUCUGUCGCCCAGGCGGGAGUGCAGUGGCUUGAUCUCGGCUCACUGCCAGCUCCGCCUCCGGGGUCCAUGCCAUUCUCCUGCCUCAGCCCCCCGAGUAGCUGGGACUACAGGUGCCCACCACCACGCCCAGCUAAUUUUUUGUAUUUUUAGUAGAGAUGGGGUUUCACCAUUAGCCAGCAUGGUCUCCGUCUCCUGACCUCAUGAUCCGCCCUCCUCAGACUCCCAAAGUGCUGGGAUUACAGGCGUGAGCCACUGUGCCCAGCCAAAACUAUUUAAAUUUUUAAAAUAUUGGUUACAUUUUGAGAUGAUAAUAUCUUGGAUAUGUUGGACACAUAGGGUUGUUGUGAGGACUGAAUAUGCUGAGAGUUCUUAUACAUAUCCUGCCCUCAUAAACACCCAAGCUUCCUACUGUCAGCAUCCCACACUACAGUGGUACAUUUGUUACCGUCAAUGACAGAUCAUUUCCAUCCAAACUUCAUAGUUAAUGUUAAGGUUCCCUCUUAGUGUCAAGCAUUCUAUGGGUUUUGGCAAAUGCAUAACGAUAUCUAUUCACCAUGAUGCUAUCAUACAGUGUAAUUUCAUUGCCCUGAAAAUCGUCUGUGCUCUGCCUGUUCAUUCCUCUUUCCCCUCAUUCCUUGGCAGCCACUGAUCUUUCCUUUUUUAUACAUAUACUCCUAGUUUAGGAGCUGAACUCUUUUACUUUUUUCUUUUUUUUUUUUCUUGAGACAGAGUCUCACCCUGUCACCCA